rnacentral:tRNA from 1 species
AAAACAUUAGGUUAAUCAAAAACCAUAGACCUUCAAAGUCUAAAAUCUUUUUGAUGUUUUG